UACGUAGGGGGCUAGCGUUGUCCGGAAUCAUUGGGCGUAAAGCGCGUGUAGGCGGUCCGGUAAGUCCGCUGUGAAAGUCGAGGGCUCAACCCUCGAAUGCCGGUGGAUACUGUCGGGCUAGAGUACGGAAGAGGCGAGUGGAAUUCCUGGUGUAGCGGUGAAAUGCGCAGAUAUCAGGAGGGACACCGGUGGCGAAGGCGCCACUCUGGGCCGGCACUGACGCUGAGGAGCGAAAGCGUGGGUAGCAAACAGG
rnacentral:rRNA from 1 species